GAGGUCCACCAAUAUAUCUGAUGCCUCCGGUAGUGUACAAGCAUGCUUGAUGGCCUCGGUCCUCUCACCUGAGUGUUGUUUUACAGAUGUCAUCGCCAAAUGAAGGUCGUGCCUCGGUCACGCUAAGUAACCUGCGAGUCACUAUAUAGGCAGGAACGUGGAGUGCUCGGGUCUGGCAGUGCAGAAUUUGAUAGCAACGUCCCCUGACCUAGAAGGCGCCUCCCACUUCGACGAUGAGGUGGACACUCUUACUGUUGACUUAAAGUACAUCACUAGCACAGGAUUCACGACACUCGCCUACAACGAUUGCCCGGACGACAACAUGCUGACACUGGAGGUGAACGCCACGCUCACUGACGCCUACUGGAACGACAACAAUGCCACCGUGGGAGUCGCCCUGCAGAUAGAGAGCGGGUCUACCAUCCCGGUGGUGAGGAAGGUGGCGUCACUGCAGGUGGUGCGAAGAACAUC